UACGUAGGGGGCUAGCGUUGUCCGGAAUCAUUGGGCGUAAAGAGCUCGUAGGCGGCUUGUUGCGUCGACCGUGAAAACCCGCGGCUUAACUGUGGGCUUGCGGUCGAUACGGGCGGGCUGGAGUUCGGUAGGGGAGACUGGAAUUCCUGGUGUAGCGGUGAAAUGCGCAGAUAUCAGGAGGAACACCGGUGGCGAAGGCGGGUCUCUGGGCCGAUACUGACGCUGAGGAGCGAAAGCGUGGGGAGCGAACAGG
rnacentral:rRNA from 1 species